GACGAACGCUGGCGGCGUGCCUAAUACAUGCAAGUCGAGCGAUGAAGCUUUGUGCUUGCCCCGAUUUGAAGAGCAGCGAACGGGUGAGUAACGCGUGGGGAAUCUUUCUUUGAGCGGGGGACAACAUUUGGAAACGAAUGCUAAUACCGCAUAACAACUUUAAACAUAAGUUUUAAGUUUGAAAGAUGCAAUUGCCUCACUCAAAGAUGAUCCCGCGUUGUAUUAGCUAGUUGGUGAGGUAAAGGCUCACCAAGGCGAUGCUACAUAGCCGACCUGAGAGGGUGGUCGGCCACAUUGGGCCUGAGACACGGCCCAAACGCCUACGGGAGGCAGCAGUAGGGAAUCUUCGGCAAUGGACGAAAGUGUGACCGAGCAACGCCGCGUGAGUGAAGAAGGUUUUCGGAUCGUAAAACUCUGUUGGUAGAGAAGAACGUUGGUGAGAGUGGAAAGCUCAUCAAGUGACGGUAACUACCCAGAAAGGGACGGCCAACUACGUG
rnacentral:rRNA from 1 species